UUAAAUUGAGAGUUUGAUCCUGGCUCAGGACGAACGCUGGCGGCGUGCCUAACACAUGCAAGUCGAGCGAUGAAACCCUUCGGGGUGGAUUAGCGGCGGACGGGUGAGUAACACGUGGGUAACCUGCCUCAAAGAGGGGAAUAGCCUCCCGAAAGGGAGAUUAAUACCGCAUAAUAUGUUUUAAUCGCAUGAUUGAAACAUCAAAGGAUUUUUCUUUUAGAGAAUUCCACUUUGAGAUGGACCCGCGGCGCAUUAGCUAGUUGGUGAGGUAACGGCCCACCAAGGCAACGAUGCGUAGCCGACCUGAGAGGGUGAUCGGCCACAUUGGAACUGAGACACGGUCCAGACUCCUACGGGAGGCAGCAGUGGGGAAUAUUGCGCAAUGGGGGAAACCCUGACGCAGCAACGCCGCGUGAAUGAUGAAGGCCUUCGGGUUGUAAAGUUC
rnacentral:rRNA from 1 species